rnacentral:tRNA from 1 species
GUCGUUGUAGUAUAGUGGUAAGUAUUCCCGCCUGUCACGCGGGUGACCCGGGUUCGCCCCGGCAACGGCG